AUUGAACGCUGGCGGCAGGCCUAACACAUGCAAGUCGAACGAGUGGCGGACGGGUGAGUAAUGUCAGGGAAACUGCCUGAUGGAGGGGGAUAACUACUGGAAACGGUAGCUAAUAACGCAUACCAUCGGAUGUGCCCAGAUGGGAUUCGCUAGUAGGGGGGGUAAAGGCUAACCUAGGCGACGAUCCCUAGCUGGUCUUGGAGGAUGACCAGCCACACUGGAACUGAGACACGGUCCAGACUCCUACGGGAGGCAGCAGUGGGGAAUAUUGCACAAUGGGCGCAAGCCUGAUGCAGCCAUGCCGCGGGUAUGAAGAAGGCCUUCGGGUUGUAAAGUACUUUCAGCGGGGAGGCGUUACCCGCAGAAGAAGCACCGGCUAACUCCGUGCCAGCAGCCGCGGUAAUAC
rnacentral:rRNA from 1 species